AACUGUCAGUAACUAGGGGAAGACCCCUGCCUCAGCAGAAGGUGAGGGGAGUGUGAAGUGGUCCCCACCUCUCCCAACUGCCCCAGCUUGGAGAGGAUCUGCUACCUUCAGCCUCCUGGAGCUCUUCUCUCUGAGAAAGAGAAUGAUAAUAAUAAUUAUUAAAAUGACCAUAGUAAUGGCUGCCACUUACUGAGAGCCGACUCUGUCCCAGGCCCUGUGCAAAUAUUGCUUUGCAAGUUUCCAUUAAUCCUCACAACAACUCUUAAGAUAGGGGAUUUUAUCACCUCCAUUUUACAGAUUAAGGAGACAUUUCUCUGGAUGGGCAACUGUGGGGCCAGGAGAAUGCUCUUCAUGGACCUCCAACUACAAAGACUGAAAAUUUACCAAAGGCCUUAGCUGCUGCCUUCUGAAAUCCAUCAACUCGCAGUUUAAGGCCAGCUUCCCAUGGGGUUGCUCCCAUCCAAAGACCAAACUCAGCAGAGAUCCUAAGUCACCAGGAAUGAAUUCUGAGCUCACGUUCUGGACCGCUGCCAGGAAGAAAGAAGCGGCGUUAGUAUAAAGAAUCACACAAAAGGCCGCAGUAUGCCUUGGAGAUGUUGGCCAGGAGUGACCAACAAAGUGACUCCUCAAAGCUAGGAAGAAGCAAGCCUGCCCCCAGACCUGGUGGUUCAGGACCAUGGAGAGCAUCCUACAUAGUGUCCUGGAGAGGAGACUUACUGCUAUCAUCCCCAUUUUACAGAAGCUGGAGAAAUCCGGAAAGUCUGGAGCAUACAUUCCCUCACCAUCAGGGCAGAAGCUCAGCCUGGUCAGAGAGAAAGGAAAGUUGCUUUGAUGUCCUCUCACCUAGACUAUUCAUUCCCCUGAGAAGCAAGAGGAGUCAAGGAAGAUAGAGUCAUAACGUGCUCUUCAAGUCCUGAUGCUGCAUCCCCACUGCUGUGUGAUCUCAAACAAGUCACUCAACCUCUCUGAGCCUUGGUUUCCUCAUCUGUAAAAUGGAGCUAAUAAUACCACCUCUGUUACUGAACAGAAUUUCCAAAGUCCCAAGCAGAUGUUGUCAGUAUGCAAGGGAAGACAAAAUAUGGGGAGGGAGGGUGAGAACAGGUUGCCCUACCUGGUCACCAUGGCUGCCUGAUGGAGGAAGGAGAUUCAGAGGAUAACAGAGAUUGGAUACGGAGAUUGUGAAACCCAGGAUAGGAAACAAAAGGGCCCAACUCAGGGAGCCUUGCUGGGAAGGGCCCCUGGAAUUCAUGGACCACGCUUGCUGAGAACCCACCAGAAGAAAUGACACAGUACUGCAGUAUGAAGGACUCAGGUCAGACUGUAAACAGACUUCCAGCCAGUCAGGCAACAACAAGGCCACUCCCUCCUGGGGUCUUUGGCUAUGCCUGAGCAAAAUCUCCCCGGUGGAGAGGCUAAGCCUGACUGCAGGAAGCAAUGCAGAAGGAUGGACAGGGCAACCCCGAAGAUGCUUCUGCAGGGCCAGAGAAGGAGGCCACAGUAGUCUGGCAGAUCCUCCCCGGGGUUCUCUUUCAAGCCUUGUCCUCUGGAGGCCUUUCAGAACCUAUCCUGACCUUGAAGGGAAGUCACUGGGCCUGUUCUGGAGCAGGGGCCACGUCCUCACAGACAUGCCCAGGUCAGCGUCAGGCCACAACUCUAUUAUUUAAGGAUUCCAUAAAAGAGCAAACCUCCGGGCCUGGAAGAAUGGCCGGGAUCCUGACUCUUCCUGCACAGGAAAUGCAGCGGCUGUCCCGGAGCCCUGGCUUGACCUGCUGAGGACUCAGAGCCCCUGCAGAUUCCCAGCCUGAAGGGGCUCCACUGUGGCUGAGAUGAUGACACCUGGGCCGAACUGGGCUCCUCCCUUCCGGACUGAGCUGAGACCUACCACCAGACCAACUGCUUGUGGACUCUGCAGUGAUUUUAUUGUGAUUUCCUAGUUGUCGCAGUUAGUAGCAUUAGUUUGUUAAUUACUGUAUAUUUUGAAAGUAAGAGAAAAGGGAAUUCCCACCGGA